UACGUAGGGGGCAAGCGUUGUCCGGAAUUAUUGGGCGUAAAGAGCUCGUAGGCGGCUUGUCGCGUCGGCUGUGAAAUCCCGAGGCUCAACCUCGGGUCUGCAGUCGAUACGAGCAAACUAGAGUGUUGCAGGGGAGACUGGAAUUCCUGGUGUAGCGGUGAAAUGCGCAGAUAUCAGGAGGAACACCGGUGGCGAAGGCGGGUCUCUGGGCCGAUACUGACGCUGAGGAGCGAAAGCGUGGGGAGCGAACAGG
rnacentral:rRNA from 1 species